rnacentral:rRNA from 1 species
CCUACGGGAGGCAGCAGUGGGGAAUCUUGCGCAAUGAUCGGAAGAGUGACGCAGCGACGCCGCGUGAAUGACGAAGGCCUUCGGGUCGUAAAGUUCUUUCGACAGGGAAGAAAAUGCCUAUAAGUAACUGUGUAUGUAUUGACGGUACCUGUAUAAGCAGCCCCGGCUAACUCCGUGCAAGCAGCCGCGGUAAUACGGAGGGGGCGGGCGUUGUUCGGAGUGACAGGGCGUAAAGAGCACGUAGGCGGUGUUGUAAGUCAUUAGUCAAAGACUAGAGCUCAACUUUAGUAAAGCUAGUGAUACUAUAAUACUAGAGUAUCAGAGAGGAUUGCAGAAUUCCUGGUGUAGCGGUGAAAUGCGUAGAUAUCAGGCGGAAUACCGUUAGCGAAGGCGGCAAUCUGGCUGGAAACUGACGCUGAGGUGCGAAAGCGUGGGUAGCAAACAGGAUUAGAUACCCGUGUAGUC